AACGAACGCUGGCGGCAGGCUUAACACAUGCAAGUCGAGCGCCCCGCAAGGGGAGCGGCAGACGGGUGAGUAACGCGUGGGAAUCUACCGAGCCCUAAGGAAUAGCUCCGGGAAACUGGAAUUAAUACCUUAUACGCCCUUUGGGGGAAAGAUUUAUCGGGGUUUGAUGAGCCCGCGUUGGAUUAGCUAGUUGGUGGGGUAAAGGCCUACCAAGGCGACGAUCCAUAGCUGGUCUGAGAGGAUGAUCAGCCACAUUGGGACUGAGACACGGCCCAAACUCCUACGGGAGGCAGCAGUGGGGAAUAUUGGACAAUGGGCGCAAGCCUGAUCCAGCCAUGCCGCGUGAGUGAUGAAGGCCUUAGGGUUGUAAAGCUCUUUCACCGGUGAAGAUAAUGACGGUAACCGGAGAAGAAGCCCCGGCUAACUUCGUGCCAGCCGCCGCCGUAAUAC
rnacentral:rRNA from 1 species